rnacentral:misc_RNA from 1 species
GAUGAAGAACGUAGCGAAAUGCGAUAAGUAAUGUGAAUUGCAGAAUUCAGUGAAUCAUCGAAUCUUUGAACGCACAUUGCGCCCCCUGGUAUUCCGGGGGGCAUGCCUGUCCGAGCGUCAUUACAACCCUCAAGCUCAGCUUGGUGUUGGGCCCCGCCGCCCCGGCGGGCCCUAAAGUCAGUGGCGGUGCCGUCCGGCUCCGAGCGUAGAAAUUCUUCUCGCUCUGGAGGUCCGGUCGUGUGCUCGCCAGCAACCCCCAAUUUUUUUCAGGUUGACCUCGGAUCAGGUAGGGAUACCCGCUGAACUUAAGCAUAUCAAUAAGCGGAGGA